CCUACGGGAGGCAGCAGUGGGGAAUCUUCCGCAAUGGCCGCAAGUAUGAAUGAGCAACGCCGGGUAUAUGAUGAAGGCCUUACGGUUGUAAAGUAGAAGAGUUUGGGAAGAAUACCCACCGCGUAAAUAGGCCGAUGAUGUGACGUACCAAGGGNNAGNNACCCGGUG
rnacentral:rRNA from 1 species